rnacentral:rRNA from 1 species
UACAGAGGUCCCAAGCGUUGUUCGGAUUCACUGGGCGUAAAGGGUGCGUAGGUGGCGGGGUAAGUCUGGCGUGAAAUCUCCGAGCUUAACUCGGAAAUGGCGUUGGAAACUGCCCUGCUCGAGGGUUGGAGUGGGGACUGGAAUACUUGGUGUAGCAGUGAAAUGCGUAGAUAUCAAGUGGAACACCAGUGGCGAAGGCGAGUCCCUGGACAACUCCUGACACUGAGGCACGAAAGCUAGGGGAGCAAACAGG